AUGAACGCUGGCGGCGUGCCUAAUACAUGCCAGUCGAGCGAACAGACGAGGAGCUUGCUCCUCUGACGUUAGCGGCGGACGGGUGAGUAACACGUGGAUAACCUACCUAUAAGACUGGGAUAACUUCGGGAAAUCGGAGCUAAUACCGGAUAAUAUAUUGAACCGCAUGGUUCAAUAGUGAAAGACGGUUUUGCUGUCACUUAUAGAUGGAUCCGCGCCGCAUUAGCUAGUUGGUAAGGUAACGGCUUACCAAGGCAACGAUGCGUAGCCGACCUGAGAGGGUGAUCGGCCACACUGGAACUGAGACACGGUCCAGACUCCUACGGGAGGCAGCAGUAGGGAAUCUUCCGCAAUGGGCGAAAGCCUGACGGAGCAACGCCGCGUGAGUGAUGAAGGUCUUCGGAUCGUAAAACUCUGUUAUUAGGGAAGAACAAAUGUGUAAGUAACUAUGCACGUCUUGACGGUACCUAAUCAGAAAGCCACGGCUAACUACGUG
rnacentral:rRNA from 1 species